rnacentral:rRNA from 1 species
GACGGAGGGCGCUAGCGUUGUUCGGAAUUACUGGGCGUAAAGGGCGCGUAGGCGGCUCUGUAAGUCGGGUGUGAAAGCCCGGGGCUCAACCCCGGAACGGCACCCGAGACUGCAGAGCUGGAGAACGGAAGAGGUGAGUGGAAUACCCGGUGUAGAGGUGAAAUUCGUAGAUAUUGGGUGGAACACCGGUGGCGAAAGCGGCCCACUGGUCCGGUUCUGACGCUGAGGUGCGAAAGCGUGGGGAGCAAACAGG